rnacentral:rRNA from 1 species
AGUGAACGCUGGCGGCGUGCUUAACACAUGCAAGUCGAACGAGAACGGGUUAUAGCUUGCUAUAAUUGUCAGCUAAGUGGCGCACGGGUGAGUAAUGUAUAGGUAAUAUGCCUCUUACUAAGGGAUAACAAAUGGAAACGUUUGCUAAUACCUUAUACUCCUUAUUAACAGAAGUUAAUAAGGGAAAGAUUUAUUGGUAAGAGAUUAGCCUGUAUUGUAUCAGUUAGUUGGUGGGGUAAUGGCUUACCAAGACUAUGACACAUAACUGGUUUGAGAGGAGGAUCAGGCACACUGGAACUGAGACACCGUCCAAACUCCUAAGGGAGGCAGCAGUGGGGAAUAUUGCACAAUGGACGAAAGUCUGAUGCAGCAACGCCGCGUGGAGGAUGACACAUUUCGGUGCGUAAACUCCUUUUAUAUGAGAAGAUAAUGACGGUAUUAUAUGAAUAAGCACCGGCUAACUCCGUGCCAGCCGCCGCGGUAA